CAGCGUGUAUUAGCGGCAUCACAACAUCCGCCUGCUGCAUCAAAUAUGGCGAUUUCAAGGAUACCACCCGCGGCUCUGUCUUUGAAACAGUUCUUACAGAGGCAGAGGGUGUUGGGGAUUUACAGAAACAUGCUGAGGACCAUACGACAGGUACCAGACGAGGCAGACAGGAAGUACCUCGCAGACUGGGCGAGAGCCGAGUUCAAGAGGAAUAAGGACGCCACAAACCAGGACGCCAUUCGUAUGAUGAUCACACAAGCUAACAACCAUCUGGAGGAGCUGCAGAAGUCUCUGGCGUUGGCCAGAAGUUAAUCGCUCCGAGCUGCUGGGAAUCCCCACUGCGGACUCAGCUGGACUGGUUUUCAAUAAAGACCACAUGACGGUCUUCAUUGAGAAGAGUGCUGAGGAAAGCCCUCACUGUUGUCGUCAGGGGAUGGAUGGAUGCUAUCGAUCUGCAGGUACCAUGAUCCUGCGGCACGGUAGAGACAGUUUGUUUCCAUCACCUGUGAUGAACCUGAGCGGCUGACUGAACACUGAUGAUAUUAUAGGUAUUAAAAAGAUGAAACUACAGGCACAUUAAGAACAAUCUUUUUUUAAUACAAAAUAUGUUUUCUGGCAUCAUCAUACAGAGUGCAUUAUUCAUAUCCACAGAGUUCAUGUCAAACUAACCCACAUAUUAGAGCAGACAGUCACUACAUCACAUGUACAGCAGACAGUAAUACUGCAACACAACUCUGAGCUUUCUUCAUGCACCACACUGUGACUGAAUUCACCUCUAAUGUCAGGACUGUCCUGCCUGGCAGGGGGCAUUCUGGGAGACCAGAUUAUAGGUAGUCAGAUUGAAAGGUUUCGACACAUGUCACAGCACCAGCUGGAAUUUUUACAUUAGCAACUUUUUAGCUUGAAGUGAAAGAAGCUCACAGGUUUGUCACGUCAGCGGAGUGUGCUGUAGCAACUGAACAAAAACACACUCUCACAGUGUUUCAUUAUUAUCAGUUCAAGUCGUCCCUUUUUGCAGUCACAUUAAUGUCGAGAGGAUUUUGAAUUUUUUAAAUAAAGAAAUGCAGAGGUA